AAAGGGCCGCGGUAAUUUGACCGUGCGAAGGUAGCACAAUCACUUGCCUUUUAAUUGGGGGCUGGUAUGAAUGGCUGGAUGAGGGAUCAAGUGUCUUUAUACUAUAACUAAAAUUUUACUUUUAAGUGAAAAGGCUUAAAUUGCAUUAAGUGAAGAUAAGACCCUAUAAAACUUAUAUAUAAAUAAGUUGUAUUUUAUUUGAUAAGUAUAAAAUUAGAUGACUUAUAUUAUAUUUUGUUGGGGCGACAAGAAUAGAACUAGUAUCUGUUUCUUUAAUAAGUUAAUGAUAAUUAUGAUUUGAGCCUUUCUUAAGGAUCAAAAGAUUAAGUUACUUUAGGGAUAACAGCGUAAUUUUCUUUGAGAGAUCUAAUCGACAAGAGUAGUUGCGACCUCGAUGUUGAAUUAAAAUUUUCUAUCAAGUGCAGUAGCUUGGUUAGUAAGUCUGUUCGACUUUUAAAAUUUUACAUGAUUU
rnacentral:rRNA from 1 species